rnacentral:lncRNA from 1 species
AUGGUGGCUUGGACCACAGCCAGUUCUCCCUACCUCCCCCAGCAGAAGCCGGUGCCAUGGGACUUACUAAGGCUGCAGAGUGAACGUUACACCUGCAGCCUGCCUGGAAGGAAGGAGGGACAGAGGCGAGCCCCUUGGCCCCCAGCCGCUCCAGAAUGCGGUAAACAAGUCCAGGCACUCCCCUCCGAGUCAUGUGAAAUUCUUCAGGCCCCAGAAAUCCAGAAGGUCCCUCCCACAGAGCAUCCUAGGGCCCUGGAAAGGGAACCCCCACAGGGCCAAGUCCUCUUUUCCUGCGUGAGCCCCUCCUCUAGAGCCCAGCGCUGUGGAGGAAGGAGAACCCUGUUUCUGGGAGCCCCAAGUGGAGGAGAAAGCAGUGGUCCCUGA